rnacentral:rRNA from 1 species
UACUGAGAUGGCGAUGGGUAUUCGGAUUUAUUUGGCGUAAAGGGCGCGUAGGCGGCUUUUUAAGUCAGAUGUGAAAGCCCGGGGCUUAACCCCAGAAGUGCAUUUGAAACUGAGAGGCUUGAGUAUGGGAGAGGGAAGUGGAAUUCCUGGUGUAGAGGUGAAAUUCGUAGAUAUCAGGAGGAACACCGGUGGCGAAGGCGACUUCCUGGACCAAUACUGACGCUGAGGCGCGAAGGCGUGGGGAGCAAACAGG